rnacentral:misc_RNA from 1 species
UAUUGAACUGCAUGUACAUGUCAAUGCCGCCAGUUGUAGAAGAUUUUGAUCAAACCCUGUUCUAUCAAUGAUGCCUAUGGCGAUCUUUAUCGCGUGAAGAAUAAGAUGAGCUAUGGUAUUCACGAUCUCGCGAUGAGUGGUGUCUUGACUUCUCCAGAUGCCCUCCUAAUUCCUUGCCCCUAUCCUUCGAGCGAUGAGCUCGAUCCUUGACUUUGUCUCUGUCUGCAUCCUCUCUCUCACGUUCUCUGUCAGAAUCCCGACCCCUAUCUCGAUCUCGAGACUUGGUUCUGUCUCUCUCCCUCUCUCUUUCUCUAUCCCGGUCUCUUUCUCUCUCUUUG